rnacentral:rRNA from 1 species
GAGGGGAGUGAAACAGUACCUGAAACCGUGCGCCCACGAGCAGUCGGAGCACCCUUGUGGUGUGACGGCGUGCCUUUUGUAGAAUGAGCCAGCGAGUCGCUGGCGCGGGGCGAGGUUAACCGAAAGGGAGCCGGAGCGAAAGCGAGCCUUAACAGGGCGACUUGAGUCCCGCGCCGCGGACGCGAAGCCGGGUGAGCUAUCCGUGGGCAGGCUGAAGCGGGGGUAAGACCCCGUGGAGGGCCGAACGCACGUCGGUUGAAAACGGCGGCGAUGACCUGCGGAUAGGGGUGAAAGGCCAAUCAAACCCGGAGAUAUCUCGUUCUCCCCGAAAUAGCUUUAGGGCUAGCGUCGCGCGUUCACCGCCGGAGGUAGAGCACCGGAUGGACGAGGGGGCUUCGCCGCCUACCGAAUCCAACCGAACUCCGAAUGCCGGCGGCCCAGAGCGCGGCAGUCAGAGCAUGUGGGCUAAGCUGUGUGCUCGAGAGGGAAACAGCCCGGACCGCCCGCUAAGGUCCCCAAGUUCCAGCCGAGUGGCAAAGGAUGUGCGUCCGCCCAGACAACCAGGAUGUUGGCUUAGAAGCAGCCAUCCAUUCAAAGAGUGCGUAACAGCUCACUGGUCGAGUGGACAUGCGCCGACAAUACACGGGGCUAAGCUGGACACCGAAGCGGCGGGAUUUUAUCUAUAUAGAAUCGGUAGGGGAGCUUCCCAUGGGCGGUGAAGCCGCCGGGCGACCGGCGGUGGAGCGCAUGGGAGUGAGAAUGCUGGCAUGAGUAGCGAGAGACGAGAGAGUAACUCGUCCGCCGUGAACCCGAGGUUUCCUGGGCAAGGCUAAUCCUCCCAGGGUCAGUCGGGGGCUAAGGCGAGGCCGGGAGGCGUAGCCGACGCGCAGCAGGCAGACAUUCCUGCACCGCGCACGCGGCGCUACGACCGACGGGGCGACGGAUGGGGGUGGCUCGGCGGGGUUCUGGACGUCCCCGUGAUGGAGCGCGGCCCGCGGACCAGGGAAAUCCGGUCCGCACGAGGGCGAGGCUCCGGACGAAGCGAUCAAGCGAAGCGAGUGAGCCCGAGGUCCCUAGAAAAACCCCUAGGCAGGCGCGUGCGCGCCCGUACCGCAAACCGACACAGGUGGGUGGGUAGAACAUACCGAGGCGAUCGGGUCAACCAUGGUCAAGGAACUCGGCACAAUGGCCCCGUAACUUCGGGAGAAGGGGUGCCCGCGCGUACGUGAACCGGCUUGCCCGGGGAGCGGAGGCGGGCCGCAGUGGAGAGGCCCAAGCGACUGUUUACCAAAAACACAGGACUCUGCAGAAGCCGCAAGGCGACGUAUAGGGUCUGACGCCUGCCCGGUGCCGGAAGGUCACGCGGAGGAGUUAGCGCAUCGCGCGAAGCCCCGAAGCCAAGCCCCGGUAAACGGCGGCCGUAACUAUAACGGUCCUAAGGUAGCGAAAUUCCUUGUCGGGUAAGUUCCGACCUGCACGAAAGGCGCAACGACUUGGGCGCUGUCUCGACCAUGGACCCGGUGAAAUUGCACUGGUCGUGAAGAUGCGACUUACCCGCGGAAGGACGGAAAGACCCCGUGAACCUUCACUGCAGCUUGGCAUUGGCCGCUGGUCCCGCGUGUAGAGGAUAGGCAGGAGGCACAGAUCCGGAGGCGCCAGCCCCCGGGGAGCCGCCCUUGGAAUACUGCCCUCGCGCGACCGGCGUCCUAACCCGAGGCCGUCAACCGGCUCGGGGACCGUGCCAGGCGGGCAGUUUGACUGGGGCGGUCGCCUCCUAAAGGGUAACGGAGGCGCGCGAAGGUCCGCUCGGGACGGUCGGCAACCGUCCUUUUGAAUGCAAGAGUACAAGCGGGCUUGACUGCGAGGCCCACAAGCCGAGCAGGUGCGAAAGCAGGCUCUAGUGAUCCGGCGGCCCCGAGUGGGUGGGCCGUCGCUCAACGGAUAAAAGGUACUCCGGGGAUAACAGGCUGAUCUUGCCCAAGAGUCCACAUCGACGGCAAGGUUUGGCACCUCGAUGUCGGCUCAUCGCAUCCUGGGGCUGGAGCAGGUCCCAAGGGUACGGCUGUUCGCCGUUUAAAGCGGUACGCGAGCUGGGUUCAGAACGUCGUGAGACAGUUCGGUCCCUAUC